rnacentral:misc_RNA from 1 species
GCUUUCUCUACUCUCAAUUUUAAAUUUUGAUGUAAAUAUAAUAAACACAAAAAAAAAAUAUUGAUAACUUGUAUCAUAAUUUUAAAGUUUUAAUGAUUCUAAUGAUUAAGUAACUUGUUGUAAUUAACAUUGGUCCUUGGAAUUGGGAAAGGCCAUAUUAUUAAAAUAAUGUUAUUGUGAUUCUUAUAUAUGGGAUCUUCUCAAAGUUUACAUUUAUUACAAUUGGGUAAAUCACUGUUAUUAUGUUUAGUUCCUAAAAUUAUUAAAUAUCAUGAUAUUGUAAUUCUCAUAGUUUUUUUUUUUUUAAAAAUUAGAUUUUCCCUUAUUAUGCUAACAAGUAAUACCAUUUGUAAUUUCAUCCUACCCUGUUAAUUAAUUUCAAUUUUGGAGCAGACAAAACUAGUUUUUAGUAUGAUAGUCAAACAAUUUCACAAAUUUAUCGUUGUCUCAAGCCUUUGGUUUAACAGUCAAAUAAUUUAAAAAAAUAUAUUGUUGUUUUACUACCGAGGGUAUUUUAAGAAAGGUAAAUGAAUUUUAACAAUGAAAUUAUAUAGAAUUCAAUUGAAUUUCAUAUUUUAACAUUGAUUUCGAUUGCAGUAAUAUGACUCAAGAGAAUCAAAUAUUAAUUUCUUAUUGAACCAAACUAGGAAAAGUAUUCAUUCUGAUUUUGAUUCCCAAAUUUAAACCGAGCAGGCCCUUAUACAAUUUUUUUACAUGAAAGUUUGCCCCCCUUAAUCUCAAAUCCUGGCUUUGCAUAAGUGACAAUCAAAUUUUAAUUUGUAAGACAAAUCAAGGUUUGUGGUGGGUUACUAUUAUGACAACACAUCAGCCAUGACUGUAAACAACAAAGAAACUGAGGAAAACUUGCAUCUCAAGACAUGCCAACUUUAGCAACCAACCUUGUCUAUUAUGAUGCAAACCUUGCCAAACAAAUUUUCAGAUAUGGAAUAGCACCUCAAUACUUCCUGCAGAACCUUUCAAAAGAAGAAAGCACUCCAAAUGUUAAUAUAUAUGAUGUCCAGUAUGCAUUAUGCACUAAUUCUGCAUGAAAAUUUCAAUUCAAUACUAAAUAAACACCAUUCUUAUUACUAUCAUGCAGGAAGAAACCAUCACUGUAGCAUUAUCAAAUUAUGUUUAUUCAUCCACAGGAGUCUAAAAUGCUGGAACAAGUGCAGUAUAUUAUCUCAAGCUGCACUCUAAUCCCCACUGAAGGAUACCAUCCAUGGUAAAAUAGCCAUUUCAUGAAUUUCUAACAGAAGAAACUACCAGAAGAUGAACUAUUCCUGAAUUCCAUCAACCACUAUUCUGCAAUAUCAUCUUUAGUAAUUAAGAUACAUGAGCCCUUUUUUAUUUCUUAUUGUGUUUGAAGAUAUUUGCUUAAGUUGUUCCUUUUUUUUUUUUUUUU